rnacentral:misc_RNA from 1 species
UGGCUCUGGCAUNGAUGAAGAACGCAGCGAAAUGCGAUAAGUAGUGUGAAUUGCAGAAUUCAGCGAAUCAUCGAAUCUUUGAACGCACAUUGCGCCCUUUGGUUAUUCCUUAGGGCAUGCCUGUUCGAGCGUCAUUUCAACCUUCAAGCCCAGCUUGGUGUUGGGUGCUGUCCCGCCUCCCGCGCGCGGACUCUCCCCAAAUCGAUUGGCAGCCGCAACCCUCCCCCGCCGCGUGCGCAGCACUUCUGUCCGCAGCGGGGGCACGAACGGGUCGGGGCGCUCCAGAAGACAAUCAACCGUCUUGACCUCGGAUCAGGUAGGGAUACCCGCUGA